CAGUGGCAGGCUCCUUUCCCUGGGUAAACUGACCUCAGGGUUUCCAGGGAGGUUUCUGCCUCAGCUGAGACACAAGAGCAGCCACUUCACCUCUGUGUUCUGGGGAGAGAUUGACAGGAAAAUGUCUUCAGAGCAAACGCACGCCAGAUGGAAUGAAAACGGUUUAUUGGAGUAUGGAGGUGCUGCUGAACUGAAUAGAGGGCGGGUUUAAGAGCAAAGGCAGGAGAACAGCCAUAAAUGGGAAGAAACAGCACAAAAGAAAGGAAGAAAAUACAACUCUAAACUGUGAAUCUCCCUGACAUAUUUUCAUUAUCAGCCUAGUCAAUGAAGAAUGCCACAAAGGAAAGGACAGCAUCAUAUUAUUGAAACAUGAUGGUUUGGGGUUUUUUUGAAGGAUGCACUUGUAUAUUCUCUGUGGGUAGCUUUUUUUUUAUUUCAUUAUA